rnacentral:rRNA from 1 species
AAGUGGGGGCAACCCUGCGAGUAGAGUGGCGAACGGGUGAGUAAUACAUCGGAACGUACCCAGGAGUGGGGGACAACCUCGAGAAAUCGAGGCUAAUACCGCAUACGUCCUGAGGGAGAAAGCGGGGGAUCCAUAAGGACCUCGCGCUCAUGGAGCGGCCGAUGUCGGAUUAGCUAGUUGGCGGGGUAAAAGCCCACCAAGGCUACGAUCCGUAGCUGGUUUGAGAGAACGACCAGCCACACUGGGACUGAGACACGGCCCAGACUCCUACGGGAGGCAGCAGUGGGGAAUUUUGGACAAUGGGGGCAACCCUGAUCCAGCCAUGCCGCGUGAGUGAAGAAGGCCUUCGGG